rnacentral:rRNA from 1 species
UACAGAGGUUUCAAGCGUUGUUCGGAUUCAUUGGGCGUAAAGGGUGCGUAGGUGGUGCUGUAAGUCAGGUGUGAAAUCUCGGGGCUCAACCCCGAAACUGCACUUGAUACUGCAGUGCUCGAGGACUGGAGAGGAGAUUGGAAUUCAUGGUGUAGCAGUGAAAUGCGUAGAUAUCAUGAGGAAGACCAGUGGCGAAGGCGGAGCUCUGGACAGUUCCUGACACUGAGGCACGAAGGCCAGGGGAGCAAACGGG